UUACGGCCACAUCAGGUUGAAACACCAUUUCCUGUAAGAUCACCAAAGUUAAGAAAUGUUGAGCCUGGUCAGUACCUAGAUGGGUGACCUCUUGGGAAUACCAGGUUCCGUA